ACGAACGGACGUGUGUAGACGGCAAUUUGCGCGAUACAAUUUUCUUUUCAACUCAAAUGUAUAUUAACCAAAAUUAAAAUUGAUGAAAAGCCAACAACGUUUAAAGAGUUAAAAAUACUACCUACCGCAAAAGUUUUGUUUUAUUUAAAGAUUUAAUAAAGCGUACAUAAGCAAACAAGUUGCUGCUAAUUUUUCUAAACAGAGUUUUUGUCACUUCAAACGGUAUUUCUCAUUGAGCACGACAACAACGAGGGCAUGUGAUGCAAACAACAACUAAAUUGCGUCGUAAAUAAAGGAGGGCUACAGUAAUUGCUUAGUUACAUAUAAAUUGUGCUAUCCAUCGAUAAAUAAUGCCACCCAAGAAAAUAAACACAA